rnacentral:lncRNA from 10 species
GGCGUCGCUGUCUCGCUUGCGCUUCCGUGAUGAUUUCUUCUGCCGGACCUCCUCUUCGAUCUCCUCCAGCGUGCCCUCCUCGAUGGCCUUCAGGGUCAAUAGUAGUAAAAUAGGACAGCCAGCACCCAGGUCGACAAGCAGAGGCCGCGACGCAAUCCCAGGGGCCGGGCUGGGACACGGAGGAGGGCCCCCGCACCCGCUCUCCCUUCAGCUUGACUGGCUCGGGGCAUAACACACACUGGGACUCUCAAGGGGUGCCUGGGCUGCAGUGAAAGACCAGCACUGCCCCCAGCAGGCACCCCACCCAAGCUUGUCUUUAAAAAACUAAUGGUUGAAUUUCUUGACCAAAAAAAAAGAACUAUCUUCUCUGUACAGAAAAGAACGUGCUCCUGAAAUCCCUUCACCCGGAGGUGAUGUUGACACCUCUGUUCCACACUCUCCCCAUCUAUUUCUUUUAUUUACUUAUUUAUUUUUAGAGACAGGGUCUCGACCUGUUGCCCAGGCUGGAGUGCAGUGGCACCAUCAUAGCUCACUGCAGUCUUGAACUCCCAGGGCUCAAGAGAUCCUCCCACCUCAGCCUCCUAAGUAGCUGGGACUACAGGCACGUGUCACCACACUCAGCUAAUUAAAAAAAUUUUUUGUAGAUACGGGGUCUCAUAAUAUUGCCCAGGCUGGUCUUGAACUCCUGGUCUCAAGCAGUGCUCCCAUCUUAGCCUCCCAAAGUGCUAGGAUUACAGAUAUAAGCCACUGGGCCUGGCCUCCAUCUAUUUCUUCUUUUUAAGAUUUUUUUUUUUUUUUUUUUGGAGACGGAGUCUCACUCUGUCACCAGGCUGGAGUGCAGUGGCAUGAUCUUGGCUCACUGCAACCUCCGCCUCCUGGGUUCAAGCAACUCUCCUGCCUCAGCCUCCUGAGUAGCUGGGAUUACAGGCGCAAACCACCACGCCUAGCUAAUUUUUGUAUUUUUAGUAGAGACAGGGUUUCACCAUGUUGGUCAGGAUGGUCUCAAACUCUUGACCUUGUGAUCUGCCCGCCUCGGCCUCCCAAAGUGCUGGGAUUACAGGUGUGAGCCACCACACCCGGCCUUUUUAAGACAUUUUAAAAAUUAUUUUUAUAUUUUUGAGACGGAGUUUCGCUCUUGUCACCGAGGUUGGAGUGCAGUGGUGCAAUCUCGGCUCACUGCAACCUCCGCCUCCUGGGUUCAAGCAAUUCUCCUGCUUCAGCCUCCCAAGUACCUGGGAUUACAGGUACGUGCCACCACACCUGGCUAAUUUUUGUAUGAAAAAUUAUUUUUAAAUUUUCUUUUUUGUUGUUGUUGAGACGCAGUCUCGCUCUGUCACCAGGCUGGAGUGCAGUGGUGCAAUCUCAGCUCACUGCAACCUCCACCUUCCUGGUUCAAGCGAUUCUCCUCCCUCACCCUCCUGAGUAGCUGGGACUACAGGCGCCCACCACCACGUCCAGCUAAUUUUGGUAUUUUUAGUAGAGACAGGGUUUUACCAUGUUGGCCAGGAUGGUCUUAAUCUCUUAACCUCGUGAUCCACCCAUGUCGGCCUCUCAAAGUGCUGGGAUUACAGGCGUGAGCCACCGCGCCCAGCCGAUUUUUAAAUUUUCUUAGACAUGUGGUCUUGCUACAUUGCCCUGGUUGGACUUUAACUCCUGGGCUCAAGUGAUCUUCCCAUCUUAGCCUCCUGAGUAGCUGGGCAUUUAAAAAAAUAUAUUAUAAAUCAUAUAUAACAUAAAAUUUACCAAAGCAGCCAUGUUUUAGUACACAGUUCAGGGGCAUUAGGCACGUCCCCAGUGUUGUGCAGCCCUCAGCGCCACCCACCACCAGAACUCUCCCCACCUUUGACGCACGUGUGCAGAACUGAAGGCCACGCUGGAAUUGUAGCCCACGUGCCACACUGCUGGCUGUGUCAUGGAUAUCUUUUCCUGUAAUUUUCUACAACAAAAUUUUUUAAUGUCUGUUUAGUGUUUCAGUGCACAACGUGCCCUAAUUUAGCCUCCCCUUGUUCUUGGGCAUUUAGGUCAUUUCCCUUUUUUUCAGAGACAGGGUCUCAUUCUGUCGCCCAGGCUGGAGUGCAGUGGUGCGAUCUUGGCUCACUACAAACUCCAACUCCUAGGUUCCAGUGAUUCUCCUGACUCAGCCUCCCAAGUAGCUGGGAUGACAGGUGCCCACCACCAUGCCUGGCUAAUUUUUGUAUUUUUAGUAGAAACGGGUUUUUGCCAUGUUGGCCAGGCUGGUCUUGAGCUCCUGACCUCAGGUGAUCUGCCCACCUCGGCCUCCCAAAGUGCUUGGGAUUACAGGCAUGUGUCACUGUGCCUGGCAUUUUUUUUUUUAAUAGAGACAAAGGUCUUGCUAUUUUGGCCAGACUGGUCUCAAACUCCUGAGCUGAAAUGAUCCCCCCGCUUUGGCUUCUCCAAGUGCUGGGAUUACAGGCACAAGCUGCCAGGUCUGACCACCUUUUUUUAUUGUUGUUGCUAUUUUAAAUAACGCUAUUGACAACUGACAUUGUUUAAGACAGAUUCCUCAUGGUAAAACUGCUGAGAAGAACAUGAAUAUGAACAAUAUUAAGAGAAUCCCCAGGUAUUAAUUUUCAAUGGUACUAAUAACUUAUCCCAAUGGUAAAAAAUGCAGCCGGGGAGCCAGGUGUCCAGGGAAUCUGAGGCUGUGCCAGUGAGCUGGGCACUGUGCCUGGCGCUGAGGACAGAGCUGUGACUUGAACCAGCCAGGGCCCUUUCCCCUACCCUUGGAAGGAAGAUGGUGAUCAGACAGCAACACCCCACAAGUGGGGUAACAAACGUGUCAGGUGCCAGGAAGGAGGGAAGAGAGAGACACCAGAAUGAUGGAGCAGACAUGUCUUAGAGAAGAUGGGAAGCUGAGAGCCUGAGGGGCCCAGGAGGAUGGAAGGCAACCGGGUCAAAGAAGCAGCAUGGAGGGCACAGCAGGCAGGAGGCACCAGGAGAAGGCCCCCUGCAGACCCAGGGCGGAGCGGCGGGUGCCCCCCAGACUCAUGUCUACCUGGAACCUCGGAAUGGGACCUUCUUUGCAAAUGAGGUCUUUACUUUUGGGAUUAAGUUUUAAAAAUUGUUCUUAAAAGACACAGAAGGGGACACAGAGGAGAAGUCCCCAUGAAGACAGAGGCAGAGAUGGGGUGACGCUGCCCCAAGCCAGGAGGCUUCUGGAACCAUCAGAAGCUGGAAAAGCCAAGGAAGGGUCCUCUCCUAGGGCCUCGAAAGGAACACAGCCCUGCCCACACCGUGGGUUCAGACUUCUGGCCCAGAAUGCAGAGAAAAUAGUUCUGUUGCUUUAGGCUGCCACAGUCAUGGCCAUGUCCGAUGGCGGCCAUAGGAGCAUUUUGAAGGCUUUGAGUUCACUUGGCAACAGAUGGCUGCCAGAAAAGUGGUGCCAAUUCCACAGCCAACAGUAGUGGGGAGACAGUGUUUUGUAUAAUAUUUUUCACAACUGUGAAUUUGAAUAUACUGUGUAAUAAGAUGGGCUCAAUGGGAAAAAAUAGUCUCUUCAACAAAUGCUGCUGGGACAACUGGAUUUCCAGUUGGAUGGAUGAAGAUGGACCCCUACCUCACAUCAUGUAUAAAAUUUAACUCAAAAUGGAUCUUACAUGGAUCUACAUGGAAGAGAUCAAAUUAUAACCCUCCUAGGAGAAAAGACAGGGGCAAGUCUUCGUGACCUUGGAUAGGCGAUGGUUUCUCAGAUACAACACCAAGGCACAGGUGAAAAAGAAAAAUCGACUGUAAGUACAAUGAAACACUUCUGUGCUUCAACGGAUAUCACGGAAGCGAAAAGAGAAUGUGCAGAAUGGAACAAAAUAUUUACAAAUGAUAUCUGAUAAGGCACUUGUAAAUAACUUACAAUUCAAUAUUAAGAUAAAUAUAUUUUAAAUUUGGGUAAAGGAUGAUGUGACUAGACAUCUCUUUCUAGAGGAUACACAAAGGGCCAAGAAGCAUAUGAACAGAUACUCCACACCAUUAGCCAUCAGGGAAAUGCAAAUCCAACCACACUCAGAUGGCACUUCAUACGUGCUGGGAUGGCUAGAAUCAGCGGGCGAGGGAACAGCAAGGGUUGCUGAGGAUGUAGAGAAAGAGGAAUUCUCAUACACAGCUGGUGGAACUGUGAACUGGCGUAGCCACCAAGGAAACCAGGCUGGGGUCCCUCAAAAGGUUAAAUAGAGAACUAACAUUGUUCCGGCAACUCUACGCCUAGGCACAUAUUAAAGAGAAAUCAGAUAUUAAAGAGAAAUCACAUAUUAAAGAGAAACGCGUGCACGCAAAAACGUGUACGUGAAUGUUCACGGUAGUAUUGUUUGUAAUAGCCCGAAAGUGGAUACAACCCAAGUGUCCAUCAAGAAUGGACAGAAAAACCGAAUGUGACAAAUCUGUACGAGGCAGGAUUAUUUCACCAUCAAAGAAUGCAACACACCUGCUGCAUCAUGGGUCAGCAUGUUACAUUGCGUGAAAAAAGCCUGACACCAAAGCAUCCCACGCUGUAGGACUCCACUGACAGGAAACGCCCAGAACAGGUAAAACUAUAUGGACAGAAAGUACAUCAGUGGUUGCCUGGGGCUGGGGAGAAUCCAUGAAUUACCAGGAAUGGCAAAUCGGGGCAGGGCUUCUUUUGGGGGCGAUGAGAAUGUUCUAAAAUGGACUGUGGUGAGAGAUGCACAACUCUUGGAUACACUGAAGAUGAUUGUAUCAUAUACCCCAAAAGGGUGAACUGUAUGGUAUGUAAAUUACACCUAGAAAAAAAUGUACAUAGAGCAGCCACGUAUGAACUGAUCUUAAAUUUAAAAGGUACUCACUGCCUCAAAUAUGCAGGGCUGAGCUGGGCACCGUGGCUCAUGCUCGUAAUCCCAGCUACUCUGCAGGCCGAGGCGGGUGGAUUGUUUGAGCCCAGGAGUUUGAGACCAGCCUGAGUGACACAGUGAGACCCCCACUUUACAAAAAAUUUAAAAUUAGCCAGGCGUGUUGGUGUGUACCUGUAGUCUGAACUACUCAGGAGGCUGAGGUGUGAGGAUCACUUGAGCCCCCAGGAACUGGAGGCCAGCCUGGGUAACACAGCAAGACUUUGUCUUUAUUAAAAAAGAAAAAAAUGCAGGGCCGGUGACACUCAUACAGCAGCCAAACAGCUCUGCUGUCACACAGGUCUGUGGCAGGGCUCACACUGUCUUUUCAGGGUUUCUCUUCUGGGUCCUGGAGCGCUGUGCUUGGGAGGCUGGCUGGGGAACAGGAUGGCCUGUCUGUCACCUGGGCUCCUGGUGUGUUUCAACAGCGCCCUCUGGUGCACAGCUUGGCAGGCAAGCUCAUGAGUCUGGGCUGCUGAGGUCCCAGGAGGGAACCGGGGCUGUUUGGCCACAUGGGCUAGGCCACAUGGCUCUUUCCUGGGUGUGGCACUUUGCAUGGCAUAGCCAAAAGCUGCCACCUGCCUUCUCGGAAUUAUUGCUUCAGGACAUUUUUAUGACACAACUUCAGGGAUGGAUUCUGAAUCAUCGUCUCUAUAACUCAGAGCCCCUGAGCUGGGAAGGGGUCUGAUCUGUCACCGUAACCCCAGUGAGGACAUCAGUGCCAGGCAUCUGUCACAGUGUGCCUUGGGCUGGGAAAGUUGGGUCGGGUGAAGCCCCAGGAGCACCGCACGACUGACUCAAAGACAUCUGCAGCUGCUGUUGCAGGGCCAGCUGCCAUCUGCUGAGAACGGGCCCUCACGUCAGCUCCACAAGCAACUGCCAGCCCCGUGCAGCACCUGCCAGGUUCAGAGGCCCUUGGGGGCUUGCCCUCUCCUCCCUCCCCAUGACUGAGUCUCCCCAGCUCAUGGGGGGGGACUUGCCCAAAGUGAGGCUGCCUGCAGCCAGCAGUGCAACGCUUUGCAGGGCGCCUCAAUAGUCCAUGAUUCACCCUUGUGCCUCCCUCCUGGCAGGUACUGGGAAAGCCAGCAGUCCACUGAGAUCAGCAACAUGAUUUUUAACCUCGGGAAGAGGUAAACCCUUUUACUUGAAAGACCAACCAUAACCAGCAGCAGGUUUUGAGCUGCUCAGGAACCGUGGGUCCUUCUUGCAUUCCAAGGCAGAGCCAAAAGGACCUGACCAUCCCUGGCCCACAUCGGAAGGCUCUCGGCUGCCUGCGGAGCCUGGCCAGGAGUGGCCCAAGGAAAGCAUUUUGGACCCAGGCCUGAGUCCUGGCGGUGGGCCCUUUGUCUCCCCAGCCCUGCCUGGCGCUGGCCUGCGGCAGCUGCUGGGCCUCUCCAGCAUGUACCUUGAGCCACUGCUUCUCCGUCAGUGAGUCGCUGUAGUCCACCUCCUUGCGGUGGCGGGAGCCACGGCCGAACAUCUUCUCCUCCUCCUCCUCACAGGUCAGCCGCUCCACCUCCGCGUCGUCCUUGAUGAUCCACGAGGGGAGCUCGUCCUCCUCCAUGAGGCGCGGCUUCCGCUUGGGGUUGCGGGCCUCCUCGCGCCUGCGGUCCAGGUCCAUGCGCUGGUGG